GCCAUGUGACAUCAUAGCUCAGUCGGUAGAGCAUGAGACUCUUAAUCUCAGGGUUGUGGGUUCGAGCUCCUUGUUGGGCA